AGCUCCCUCUCUGCCUGAGGUCUUCUGAAGAGGAGAGGAGCAGAUGCUUCUCACAUCCAGCAGUUCACACUGCAAGGAGCAGUUCCUCUGUUUCUGGAUGCGACGGCUGUUCAUUCUCUCAGCCCUUCCACCUGCAGGGAGGUGCCAUAUCCGUUACUCUGAGGAUUUGUUUCAGAAGCGGCCGCGUUUUGUUUGGCUGCAGCUCCGAAGUGAUGAGAUGAGAGCUCCUCCCUGGGACUGCUUUCCGCAGCAGUGCCCCCUAUUGAGAAGCUGAACUUGAUGGAUGCGCGGCAGCACAGCUUGGAGGUGUUGGAUGAGUGGCCUAACAGAGGGGAGCAGCAAAGAAAUUAUCAAGCAUGGAAGUGAAGAGCUUAGGGCUGACCAAAGCUCAGUGCAGGGAAAGGGUGCUGGGAGGAGGAGCGGCUCUGCUGGCUGUCAGUCCUCAGGGUGGCUGCGCUCUGCAGUGCUGCAUGGCAGGGAUGGAUCCUGCGAGUGAUGGAAGCUCUGUGUUUCUCAUGGGAGGUAUGAAAGCAUUUCAGUAUGCAGUCAAAUACAUGUGGAUAAUUUGUUUUUAUGGCAAUGUGUAGAAUGCAAAAUAUUUAUACUUUCUAGAGUUACAAAAAUCUGUAGUGUUAAUUCUGCAGAGAAUAUGUUUACAAUUUCCAAUUUAAUUCUUUCAUUUGUAUUUUGCUAACUGGGGAGAAUGUCUGUAAUUUGGUAAUGCAGAAUAACAAAGGGCUGCAGAAUCUUGCAGGGAACUGAACUUUUUAUUCGUUAUCUAUGUGGCUGUCUGGGAGCUGCUAAGCCACGGCCUGGGGCUGUGACUGAGCAUCUGGUGGAGGGGCACAGCCUGCCCUGGGAGCACCUGUGGAAGCAAUUCAGCUGUGGGACUGGAAGGGUGGAUCCUGGCUCCAUCCCUCCCUAACCUCACCGAAGGGUGGCAGCCACAGGGGAAGGGUGUCUGCAUGGAGAUCCCUCCUUUGGAGUGCUGGGUGAGCCCCGAUCACUGGGAUGGGUGAGCAGAUCUGUCUGUAACUGGAUUGUGGCCAUCGCCCUUUUUUUGGUAACGUAGCACUGGUUCUCUGCCAUUGCCUUUCCCUUCAGUGGUACAGUAAGCAGCUGAUGACACAACAACACCUGAUGCUUGUUUGUGUUUUACCAAGUCGUUAUUUGUCACACCUCACAGCAUGCAGUGAAUGCAAACCUUCUGUGGGAGUUUGAAUCCUUUCUGAAAUAGGAAGUAACAGCUUGUGCAAAGGGCAGAAUCACCACCCUGGAAAUAUCCCUACUUUUUUGUCCAAAUAUUUUCCAUAUUUGCCAUGACAGUGAGAUAUAUAUAUAUACACAUAUAUUAUAUUUUUUUCCAACAGUAGUCAAACCUUUUGUUGCUCCUUGAAUUUAUUUCUCAACAGCAGUUUUUGGUAAACUGGAGCAGUCCCGUUGGUCUUUUAAUAUUGCCCUUUUUGGUUAGGUUUCCCAUUUCAGACAGAAAUAGGAUUUCUCUGACACUGAACUUUCCCUUCCCUCUCAUCC
ensembl:lncRNA